rnacentral:rRNA from 1 species
UACGGAGGGUGCAAGCGUUAUCCGGAUUCACUGGGUUUAAAGGGUGUGUAGGCGGAUAUUUAAGUCAGUGGUGAAAUCUCCAGGCUCAACCUGGAAACUGCCAUUGAUACUAUUUAUCUUGAAUUCUGUUGAGGUGGGCGGAAUACAUCAUGUAGCGGUGAAAUGCUUAGAUAUGAUGUAGAACACCGAUUGCGAAGGCAGCUCACUAAGCAGACAUUGACGCUGAGGCACGAAAGCGUGGGGGAUCAAACAGG